CUGGCGGCACGCCUAAUACAUGCAAGUCGAACGAAGUAGCAAUACUUAGUGGCAGACGGGUGAGUAACAUGUGGGUAUCUUCCCUUUGGUGAGGAAUAACACGAGGAAACUUGUGCUAAUACCUCAUAAGUCUUUACGGAGAAAGCUUUAUGCGCCAAUGGAUGAGCCCGCACUUGAUUAGUUUGUUGGUGAGGUAAUGGCUCACCAAGACUUUGAUCAAUAGCUGAUUUGAGAGGAUGAUCAGCCACAUUGGGACUGAGACACGGCCCAAACUCCUACGGGAGGCAGCAGUAGGGAAUCUUGCACAAUGGGGGAAACCCUGAUGCAGCGAUGCCGCGUGAGUGAAGAAGGCCUUUGGGUUGUAAAGCUCUUUCGUCGGGGAAGAAAAUGACUGUACCCGAAUAAGAAG
rnacentral:rRNA from 1 species